GACGUAGGGCGCAAGCGUUGUCCGGAUUUAUUGGGCGUAAAGAGCUCGUAGGCGGCUUGUUGCGUCGACUGUGAAAACCCAGAGCUUAACUGUGGGCUUGCAGUCGAUACGGGCAGGCUGGAGUUCGGUAGGGGAGACUGGAAUUCCUGGUGUAGCGGUGAAAUGCGCAGAUAUCGCUUGGAACGCCAAUGGUGAAAACAGCUCGCUGGGGGUGUGCUGACGCUGAGACACGAAAGCCAGGGGAGCGAACGGG
rnacentral:rRNA from 1 species